rnacentral:rRNA from 1 species
GGGUUGUGAGGUUAAGCGACUAAGCGUACACGGUGGAUGCCCUGGCAGUCAGAGGCGAUGAAGGACGUGCUAAUCUGCGAUAAGCGCCGGUAAGGUGAUAUGAACCGUUAUAACCGGCGAUUUCCGAAUGGGGAAACCCAGUGUGACUCGUCACACUAUCAUUAACUGAAUCCAUAGGUUAAUGAGGCGAACCGGGGGAACUGAAACAUCUAAGUACCCCGAGGAAAAGAAAUCAACCGAGAUUCCCCCAGUAGCGGCGAGCGAACGGGGAGGAGCCCAGAGCCUGAAUCAGCAUGUGUGUUAGUGGAAGCGUCUGGAAAGGCGCGCGAUACAGGGUGACAGCCCCGUACACAAAAGCGCAUGUGCUGUGAGCUCGAUGAGUAGGGCGGGACACGUGGUAUCCUGUCUGAAUAUGGGGGGACCAUCCUCCAAGGCUAAAUACUCCUGACUGACCGAUAGUGAACCAGUACCGUGAGGGAAAGGCGAAAAGAACCCCGGCGAGGGGAGUGAAAAAGAACCUGAAACCGUGUACGUACAAGCAGUGGGAGCACAGGU